AUAGAAUUAUGAAAGUCAAAAUUUAGCUUCUAACUUUAAUUUUAUUUGAGCAAUUACUUUAU
rnacentral:tRNA from 1 species